UACGUAGGGGGCAAGCGUUGUCCGGAAUCAUUGGGCGUAAAGCGCGUGUAGGCGGCCCGAUAAGUCCGCUGUGAAAGUCCAGGGCUCAACCCUGGAAUGCCGGUGGAUACUGUCGGGCUCGAGUCCGGAAGAGGCGAGUGGAAUUCCUGGUGUAGCGGUGAAAUGCGUAGAUAUUGGGAGGAACACCGGUGGCGAAGGCGGCUCUCUGGACCGGUACUGACGCUAAAACGCGAAAGCCAGGGGAGCAAACGGG
rnacentral:rRNA from 1 species